rnacentral:tRNA from 2 species
GUUAGCAUAGUUUAAUAAACAUUAGGCCGUGGAUCUAAAAUUAGAAGUUUAACCCUUCUUGCAAACC